rnacentral:rRNA from 1 species
GACGAACGCUGGCGGCGUGCUUAACACAUGCAAGUCGAACGAUGAAGCCCAGCUUGCUGGGUGGAAGAGUGGCGAACGGGUGAGUAACACGUGAGUAACCUGCCCUGAACUCUGGGAUAAGCACUGGAAACGGUGUCUAAUACUGGAUACGACCUAUCACCGCAUGGUGUGUGGGUGGAAAGAUUUAUCGGUUUUGGAUGGACUCGCGGCCUAUCAGCUAGAUGGUGAGGUAAUGGCUCACCAUGGCGACGACGGGUAGCCGGCCUGAGAGGGUGACCGGCCACACUGGGACUGAGACACGGCCCAGACUCCUACGGGAGGCAGCAGUGGGGAAUAUUGCACAAUGGGCGCAAGCCUGAUGCAGCAACGCCGCGUGAGGGAUGACGGCCUCCGGGUUGUAAACCUCUUUUAGUAGGGAAGAAGCGAAAGUGACGGUACCUGCAGAAAAAGCACCGGCUAACUACGUGCCAGCAGCCGCGGUAAUACGUAGGGUGCAAGCGUUGUCCGGAAUUAUUGGGCGUAAAGAGCUCGUAGGCGGCUUGUCGCGUCUGCUGUGAAAUCCCGGGGCUCAACCCCGGGUCUGCAGUGGGUACGGGCAAGCUAGAGUGCGGUAGGGGA